GAUGGUAUGCAGCAUGUCGGAAAGCUCAUAUGUAGCAACUUAGGCGCAAGGAUGGAUUCUGAGCCUAAACGUUGGAGAAUCUUAGCUGAUGUUCUGUAUGACUUUGGGACUGGUUUAGAAGUUAUGUCUCCUUUAUGCCCGCAUUUAUUUCUUGAAGUUGCUGGCCUGGGCAAUUUUGCAAAGGGAAUGGCAGUUGUUGCAGCUAGAGCAACACGAUUGCCUAUAUAUUCUUCAUUUGCCAAAGAAGGCAAUCUUAGUGAUCUGUUUGCUAAAGGUGAGGCUAUUUCCACUCUUUUUAAUGUUCUCGGGCUUGGAGCAGGAAUUCACUUAGCAUCCACUAUUUGUUCAUCAAUGCAGGGAAAGGUACUAUUUUAUUUAUAUUCAAGAUAUUAUUGUACAUUUUUCCUUUUCUGAUUCAAUCCAUUUGUAGUGCUUCCAAAU
rnacentral:misc_RNA from 1 species